rnacentral:rRNA from 1 species
UACGUAGGGUGCAAGCGUUAAUCGGAAUACUGGGCGUAAAGCGUGCGCAGGCGGUGAUGUAAGACAGUUGUGAAAUCCCCGGGCUCAACCUGGGAACUGCAUCUGUGACUGCAUCGCUGGAGUACGGUAGAGGGGAUGGAAUUCCGCGUGUAGCAGUGAAAUGCGUAGAUAUGCGGAGGAACACCGAUGGCGAAGGCAAUCCCCUGGACCUGUACUGACGCUCAUGCACGAAAGCGUGGGAGCAAACAGG